rnacentral:rRNA from 1 species
ACUCCUACGGGGGGCAGCAGUGGGGAAUAUUGCACAAUGGGGGGAACCCUGAUGCAGCGACGCCGCGUGAGCGAAGAAGUAUUUCGGUAUGUAAAGCUCUAUCAGCAGGGAAGAAAAUGACGGUACCUGACUAAGAAGCCCCGGCUAACUACGUGCCAGCAGCCGCGGUAAUACGUAGGGGGCAAGCGUUAUCCGGAUUUACUGGGUGUAAAGGGAGCGCAGGCGGCGCGGUAAGUCUGAUGUGAAAGCCCGGGGCCCAACCCCCGGACUGCUCUGGAAACUGUAUGGCUGGAGUGCAGGAGAGG